UCCAUGAGGAAAUGAGAACAGCAAAGUCUCAUGUUAUUACAGCAACCAGAAGCACAAUUCAAGACCAAUGAAUACCAAAUUGUGAGAAUGGGGUUCUUCAUUUUAUUCGCUCUUUACUAAAUAUUUUACAUACAUAAUCCUAUUGGAUCUUAACAAAUAUCAUAGAGGAGGAAGAAGCAUAUGAAGUGAAAUAAUAUGAAAAGAGAAGGAGGCAUCACUGCAGUGAAGGAAAGAAGAAAGCCAAGGGAUCUGUUCUGAAAAGAUUCCCCUUCCUAAGAUUUCUUAGAAAAUCCACUAUUGAAGUGUCUCCUUAAGAACCAUGUUCCUGUUAGAAAGUAGAAAUAAAAGGGUUGAAGAAAUACCACAGGCCAUCUCUGAGGCUGCUUGGAAUAUAUUUUUGUUAUUGUGGACGUCCGAGAUAGAAAAAGACCUGGAAGGAAGGAAGCCAGUAAGGAAUGCCAGGCCCAAACGUGCCUGUAUCUGGACCAUAGUCACGUGGGUCUCUUUUUGUCCACCAAGAGGACCAGAUGUUGCAUCCUUAAUGUCAUCACGGCUAACAGAAACUGACCAUGUGCAGGUAGUGUUUUGUACAUGCCAUCAUGCCUUGUCUUCCUUCAAUCAUCUCUUCACCAGGUGCAACAAAGAGCCUUCUACGGGAUCCAAGAAAACACUCCAUAUGCCCUGAAGCACAGAAAGCCCCUGGCAAACAUAAAUAUGCAUUGUCCUCAAACUAUAAGGAUAGAUUUAACUGUACCCUUUUGGCAGCCACGUUCUAAAAUGUA